CAGCAGCCGCGGUAAUACGAAGGGGGCUAGCGUUGCUCGGAAUGACUGGGCGUAAAGGGCGCGUAGGCGGCGGCCAAAGUCAGGCGUGAAAUUCCUGGGCUCAACCUGGGGGCUGCGUUUGAUACUUGGUUGCUUGAGUGGGGAAGAGGGUCGUGGAAUUCCCAGUGUAGAGGUGAAAUUCGUAGAUAUUGGGAAGAACACCGGUGGCGAAGGCGGCGACCUGGUCCUUUACUGACGCUGAGGCGCGAAAGCGUGGGGAGCAAACAGGAUUAGAUACCCCCGUAGUCCCUGUCUCUUAUAC
rnacentral:rRNA from 1 species